rnacentral:other from 1 species
UCAAUCCUGAUGUGUACGUCUAGUUAAAUGUUUUGACCGAACAUUUAUAUAUUUGGGAGCCCGAACGUUUUUAUAUUGCGUGCAAGCCUCCUCUUUUAUGGGAGUUGAGGAAGUACAAUAUAUAUAAAACAGGACACCCACCUGCCAGGAGCGGGAUCAAAACUAGGAUAGACGGCACUAUUGGGAUUGAC